rnacentral:rRNA from 1 species
GGACUACUGGGGUUUCUAAUCCUGUUUGCUCCCCUAGCUUUCGCGCCUCAGCGUCAGCAAUAGCCCAGAAAACCGUCUUCACCACCGGUGUUCUUCCACAUAUCUACGCAUUUCACCGCUACACGUGGAAUUCCGUUUUCCCUAACUACGCUCUAGCCAAAGAGUUUUGAAUGCCGCUCCGCAGUUGAGCCGCGGAAUUUCACAUCCAACUUUUCUAGCCGCCUACGCGCCCUUUACGCCCAGUAAUUCCGAUCAAUGCUUGCACCCUCCGUAUUACCGCGGCUGCUGGCAC